UACGUAGGGGGCUAGCGUUGUCCGGAUUUAUUGGGCGUAAAGAGCGUGUAGGCGGCCAGAUAGGUCUGCUGUGAAAACUCGAGGCUCAACCUCGAGCUGUCGGCGGAAACCAUUUGGCUAGAGUCCGGAAGAGGAGAGUGGAAUUCCUGGUGUAGCGGUGAAAUGUGUUGAUAUCAGGAGGAACACCCAUGGCGAAGGCAGCAAACUGGUCAUCAACUGACGCUGAGGCGCGAAAGCGUGGGUAGCAAACAGG
rnacentral:rRNA from 1 species